AACGCUAGCUACAGGCUUAACACAUGCAAGUCGAGGGGAAACGAUAGAGAAAGCUUGCUUUUUCUAGGCGUCGACCGGCGCACGGGUGAGUAACGCGUAUCCAACCUGCCCACCACUUGGGGAUAACCUUGCGAAAGUAAGACUAAUACCCAAUGACGUCUCUAGAAGACAUCUGAAAGAGAUUAAAGAUUUAUCGGUGAUGGAUGGGGAUGCGUCUGAUUAGCUUGUUGGCGGGGUAACGGCCCACCAAGGCGACGAUCAGCAGGGGUUCUGAGAGGAAGGUCCCCCACAUUGGAACUGAGACACGGUCCAAACUCCUACGGGAGGCAGCAGUGAGGAAUAUUGGUCAAUGGACGAGAGUCUGAACCAGCCAAGUAGCGUGCAGGACGACGGCCCUAUGGGUUGUAAACUGCUUUUAUAAGGGAAUAAAGUGAGCUACGUGUAGCUUUUUGCAUGUACCUUAUGAAUAAGGACCGGCUAAUUCCGUGCCAGCAGCCGCGGUAAUACGGAAGGUCCGGGCGUUAUCCGGAUUUAUUGGGUUUAAAGGGAGCGUAGGCCGGAGAUUAAGCGUGUUGUGAAAUGUAGAUGCUCAACAUCUGCACUGCAGCGCGAACUGGUUUCCUUGAGUACGCACAAAGUGGGCGGAAUUCGUGGUGUAGCGGUGAAAUGCUUAGAUAUCACGAAGAACUCCGAUUG
rnacentral:rRNA from 1 species